rnacentral:rRNA from 1 species
GACGAACGCUGGCGGCGUGCUUAACACAUGCAAGUCGAACGGAAAGGCCCUGCUUUUGUGGGGUGCUCGAGUGGCGAACGGGUGAGUAACACGUGAGUAACCUGCCCUUGACUUUGGGAUAACUUCAGGAAACUGGGGCUAAUACCGGAUAGGAGCUCCUGCUGCAUGGUGGGGGUUGGAACGUUUCGGCGGUUGGGGAUGGACUCGCGGCUUAUCAGCUUGUUGGUGGGGUAGUGGCUUACCAAGGCUUUGACGGGUAGCCGGCCUGAGAGGGUGACCGGCCACAUUGGGACUGAGAUACGGCCCAGACUCCUACGGGAGGCAGAAGUGGGGAAUAUUGCACAAUGGGCGGAGGCCUGAUGCAGCAACGCCGCGUGCGGGAUGACGGCCUUCGGGUUGUAAACCGCUUUCGCCUGUGACGAAGCGUGAGUGACGGUAAUGGGUAAAGAAGCACCGGCUAACUACGUG